UGCCGUCGAACGGUCGCGUACUAAAAUGCCGUUAAUCAAUUUGUGUUCCGUUUUCCGUUGCCCUUUUGGUAUGUUUUUUUCGUCGCGUUUGCAUUAUUAUUGUAGUAACAAUUUGUGCUAAGUGCUAUAAGUUGAUUUUAAUUAAGGUGUACAUCUGGAUAUUAUCGGUUCAGGAUGGAGUUAGUUAAGUACCUAAUUAUUUUUCAUGACUGAAAUUAGCAUGCUGAAAAUUGGGGAUAGGUUCAGCUCAUUCGCUGACGCAAAGAAAGCGAUUGAGGAACUUGUUGAAAAUA